rnacentral:piRNA from 1 species
UAACCAAAUGGUGGCUACUGGAAAAGUGA